rnacentral:rRNA from 1 species
GACGAACGCUGGCGGCGUGCUUAACACAUGCAAGUCGAACGGAAAGGCCUGUCCUUCCUUGUGUUGGACGGGUACUCGAGUGGCGAACGGGUGAGUAACACGUGAGUGAUCUGCCCCCAACUUGGGUAUAAGCCUGGGAAACUGGGUCUAAUUCCCGAUAGGACUGCAGGGUGGUGCCUGUGGUGGAAAACGAUUUUCUAGUGGUUGGGGAUGAGCUCGCGGCCUAUCAGCUUGUUGGUGGGGUAAUGGCCUACCAAGGCGGCGACGGGUAGCCGGCCUGAGAGGGUGGACGGCCACAUUGGGACUGAGAUACGGCCCAGACUCCUACGGGAGGCAGCAGUGGGGAAUAUUGCACAAUGGGCGGAAGCCUGAUGCAGCGACGCCGCGUGGGGGAUGAUGGCCUUCGGGUUGUAAACUCCUUUCGACCGCGAGGAAGCCGCCUGGUUGGAAGGGUGGUGACGGUAGUGGUAGAAGAAGCACCGGCUAACUACGUG